rnacentral:misc_RNA from 1 species
UGCCACCAGUGAAUAUCAGUUGAUCGCCACAUCAGCUGACUACGAGCCGCGUCAAGGCUGCUGGAGAGAUCAAAUGAAUAAUGUACCCCUUUCAGCCAGCUGCAUAACACAUCUCGGAUCAUUUUUAAGACUCGUUCGAUAAUAAUGCGCGAUCGAGCACGCUACAAAGUAUCUUCAUGGUUCGAUCGAGAAUCAACGUGGCUCGCGAUGGAUCAUCGUACGUCGUCCGCGAAGGAGAAGAGGAAAUCAGAUUAUUGAAAUGAUGUCAC